AGAUAGAUAUCUGAUAACAUAAGGAUAUUAUUAUAAGAAACGAGUAACCAAAAUAAUAUAAAUAAAGCAUAUAAGUUACAUAACUACCCAAACUGUACGAAUCGAAACCAAAAAUAUAACACAAUAAUAAGUUUAAAAAACCCAUCCGAUGGCGAAGGGUAUUCUUGAACGAAGUAGACAAAUACACGGUAAAAACAUCGUUCUCGUACAUUUUCUUUUUCUAAUAUAAAAAUAGUAUAUAGCCUAUGUUCAUCCUGAAGGAAUAAGCUUUGCAAUUGCGAAAUAAUUUUAAAAAUCGGCUCAGUUUAUUCGGAGUUUACCUCUAGCAAACAAACGAACAAACAAACAUUUUCGCUUUACGUAUUAGAAAGCCUGUAGAUAACUUUUAACUUUUAUUUAAUAUUUUAAAAAUCUUAUUUAAAUAUAGGCUAUAACUAAACCUCAAAUUAAAAUUAUUAAAAUUGUAUAACAUCUUCCCCAGGCUAUAAAAUAUUUAUGAAAAAAUUGUUUAACAACGAUCUUAUUUGAUAUUCCAGGAAUAAAGCUGAUCGUAUAGAUAAAGGCAAAUUCACUAUUAUAUAAUAAACAAAGCAACCUUGAGAAAGUAACCUGUAGAAGGUUAUCAAGAAGACUGAAUAAUUCAAAUUAUUUUGAAGAUGAAAUAAUUGGUUUGGAUCAGCGAAUCAAUCAUUGAGAAGUCUUUCAGCUUUAAAAAAAACUCAUAUAAAUAUAUCAAAAGUUAAUCAGAAGCAAUUUAAAAUAUCGAAAUGAAAGUUAAAAGUUUCAUUUUUCUUACUUUGCUUUAUUUUUUUAAAACCGAGGGCUUAAAUACAAAACCAUACUCAUUUUGUUUAAAGAGUUUUGUGGAUAGAUAUUGUGCUUUGACUGAUCGAAAAGCAAUAUCCGAAUGUGUAAGACAACUUAACGGUAGCAGAAAUUUUGAGAUAUUUGAACAUUGUUAUAAUUCCAUUUCUGAAUUUGGAGUAUCUUUGAGUUCAAGUGAAAAGCUGAAUAGAGUUUGUGAUUUGGAUAUUGAUGAAUAUAUUGGAAUCUCUAAUUGUUGCGAAUAUGGGGCAAUUUUGGAUCUAAAAAGAAAGGGAAACGUAUACAAUAAUAAUCAGCACUGCCUUUCUAAACAAGAAAGAAUAGAAAGGAAUGUUUGUGGACAUCUACGACUUCAUCAUAUUCCGAAAUUCUAUAAUCCAAUUUAAACUUUCGUAUGCUUUUCGGACAGUCUAUCAUCCCUCAUCAGCUGUGCUUGUUACAAUUGUUUUUACAGAUUUCUUUUAUUGACAGUACAAACAGUAGCAGAGUUUAUACAUAAUGAAUGCUGUUUAAUAAAUUAAUUGUGAAGUAAAUGAAGUUUUUGCAAUCUGUCAGCUCGUACCAAUUACGUUUACUACUACUAACGCGAUGCUACUGUGACAAUGCCGAAGGGCUCGACCACAUUCUUCGCACCACAGGACCGAAGGGUCGACAUCGCGUAGGCGAAGACCGCAAUGACAACUUCGUCAGGACUGACACCACUGUGUCUUUGAGUAGACACAGACCGUUACAUUCGCAGGUACACGCGAGUAGUCACGUCUGUGGAAGCUUAAGUUUGGAAUGGAGACGGAGGGAGAUAUCCGGAAGAAGUGCACUCCAAGAGGCUAUUCAUUUAACAAACUCCCGUUUAUUCAGAGAGGCUGUUUACAGGAUUUUGAGACUGAGGAGCUAGCUUUCUCACUAACUCGAGUAACCAUCAACGGGGAAGCUUAUCAUAUCAAGAGAGAGAGAGAACUUACAAAACUUUCGCGCGACGACAAAUACCUGGAGU
rnacentral:misc_RNA from 1 species